UACGUGUAGAAAGCUGAAUGUACCUGAAGAAUAAGGAUCGGCUAACUCCGUGCCAGCAGCCGCGGUAAUACGGAGGAUCCAAGCGUUAUCCGGAUUUAUUGGGUUUAAAGGGUGCGUAGGCGGUCCUAUAAGUCAGUGGUGAAAGACGGCAGCUUAACUGUCGCAGUGCCUUUGAUACUGUAGGACUUGAAUCUAUUUGAAGUGGGCGGAAUAAGACAAGUAGCGGUGAAAUGCAUAGAUAUGU
rnacentral:rRNA from 1 species